rnacentral:rRNA from 1 species
AGGUUGAACGCUGGCGUCAUGCUUAACACAUGCAAGUCGAACGAGGACUUUGUAAGGUUUUAAGUUUCGAUUUUUAAUUUUAUUAGUUUUAGUGGCGGACGGGUGAGUAACGCGUAAGAACCUACCUUAUGGUGAGGGAUACCAACUGGAAACGGUUGCUAAUACCUCAUAUUUGCUGAGAAGUAAAAGGUGUACUUUAUCGACAUCGCCAUAAGAGGAGUUCGCGGCAGAUUAGUUAGUUGGCGGGGUAAUGGCCCACCAAGACGAUGAUCUGUA